AGGUAUGUAAUAUGGUAGCAUGCUUUGUCAUUUUUCAUCUUUCCUAUUCUAUAUUUUUAACAAGGUAGCUUAUCUAGAUUGCUAGUUUACAUCUAAACAGUAUUGAUCCAAUGAUUCAAAGACAUACAAUUGUAGUGAAUUAGGUAAUUUGAAUUUCUGGUCUAAAGGAUCAAUGGAUUAUUUGCUGUUUGGUAGUGGUAUACCCUACUGAAAACUCUUCUUUACUCUCUAUUCCAUUUUUGUAUUUUGGGGAAGAUUUUGUCAUGGGAGGUUUUUUGGCUGAGGAAGUGAGAAAAAAAUUUGAGAAUCUCAUUGAUGUUUGUGGGAGGCUAAAAUUCUUGAAAACAUUAUCUUUUUUAUUAUAUGUAAUGUAUUUAUAUUGCCAAAAUCAAUUUUUGUAACCACAGAUAGAUGGACGCUUAAGUUGAAUUGAUGUUGUAAAAGGGACGUAUUGCUUUGGCUUUGACACACAUUCACCUAAUCACCCUGCAUUAUUUCAAUUAUUUCUAGGUCUUCUUUUUGGUUGAUAUGUUGGGUGGUUCACUCAUUUAAUGCCAUUUGAAGCUUAUCCCUUUGGCACUAUAACAGUGAAUUUAUUGAUAUAUGUUGAAUUUUGGGAUCAAUUCUGUAAAUUAAUUAAAAUAAAGGUUCAAUCAUUUUUUGGGACAACACGUCUUUGUUUUGGCUUUGGGCGUUUUCUGGUAAUGACAUUGAUAAAAUAAUGUAGGUGUAUUCUCUCUUCAAUGGUUGGAGUUUUUUGGGUUGCUGUAAUUCCUUUCCAGAUUUUUUCAUCACAAAAGUGUAUGUUGUUGAGUGUGGAGAGAUUUGUAACAUGGUUUCAUGUAUUUUGGCAAGAGUACUGCUGGAAACUAUAGUUUGAAUGAUGUCAUACUGAUCCAUAAGUUACUGGCUUAUUUUUUUUAGCAUAUUUUAAUGAAAACACUGGAAAGGUCAAGAAUUUCAAGAAUUUACGAGUGUGACAACAGGAUUAGAACCUCUGUAUGUCUGAUAUGUGUACCUGAAGCACUACCCCAUGUCACGCAGUAACCCAUGUGUUCAUCAAUUAGGGCUGUAACUUUUUGUAAUUCUUUAUCUUGCCUUAUUUUGGAAAACCUAGCUCUCUUGUUGUCUAAGAGGAGUUAGUAUAAUCUUCUGGUUUUGCUCAGGAUGAUGAGACAACCUUGUCAG
rnacentral:misc_RNA from 1 species